GGCAGAGUGGCAAAACGUCAGAUGGAGAUGUAGAGUUUUGUGUUACAAAAAUAAUUAAAUUUUUUGACUUUUUGUGUUAAUAAUUAUGUGAAUUAUGAGAUGAAAGUGUAAAUAAAUGUUAGAUUAGUGUCCUUGGUGAUUAUGGCGCAUAGUGGUGGUGUUUUGAGUUCGGAUAUAAGUCGACGGAAUCCACAAGAUGAGUAUGAACUCAUUCAACGGAUUGGUUCGGGGACCUACGGUGAUGUCUACAAGGCGAAAAGACUCAAUGGCAACGGUGAACUUGCUGCCAUCAAGGUGAUAAAGUUGGAACCAGGCGAUGAUUUCGCCAUCAUCCAGCAGGAGAUCCUCAUGAUGAAGGACUGCCGUCACCCGAACAUCGUCGCGUACUAUGGCUCGUACCUGCGCCGGGACAAGCUCUGGAUCUCCAUGGAGUAUUGUGGUGGGGGCAGUCUGCAGGACAUCUACCACGUGACAGGUCCGCUGACGGAGCUCCAGAUAGCGUACAUGUGUCGCGAGACGCUCACCGGCCUGUCCUACCUCCACAUGAUGGGCAAGAUGCAUCGGGACAUAAAGGGCGCGAAUAUCCUCUUGACGGAGUGCGGCGACGUGAAGUUGGCCGACUUCGGCGUCUCCGCGCAGAUCACCGCCACCAUCAACAAGCGCAAGUCCUUCAUCGGGACCCCCUACUGGAUGGCCCCCGAGGUAGCGGCGGUGGAGCGGAAAGGUGGUUACAAUCAACUCUGUGAUAUAUGGGCGUGCGGGAUCACUGCCAUAGAAUUAGCGGAACUCCAACCGCCAAUGUUCGAGCUGCACCCGAUGCGUGUGCUGUUCCUCAUGUCCAAGUCGGGCUUCAAGCCGCCGCAGCUCAAGGAGCGCGAGCGCUGGUCUGCGCUUUUCCACGCUUUCCUCAAACUGGCGCUCACCAAGAACCCCAAGAAACGACCCACCGCUGACAAACUGCUGCAGCACGGGUUCUUCCAGCAAGACAUGAGCAAGCGGCUGGCGAUAGAGUUGCUGCAGAAGUACUCCAACCCGCCGAGCCACUGCAACAAUCAGGAACCCGACGAGGAUGGGGCGGUUUCCAACGUACCCCAGCGCAUAGCGUCCAAGCACACAGGCCGCGGCGGGCGACGGGUUCUGGCCGACCAAUCACAGCCCUCCGCUGUCACGCGUAGCGGCCAACCAGCCAAUCACGUGCGGCCGCGGAGUCUGCUGACGGACCACGUGGUGCCGACAGCCAAUAGCGGGCGGCCGAGCUCGUUAUUGGACGACGAUCACGGCAGAAUGAAGGAUGACGUGCUGUAUUCGGGCAGAGAAGCGUCGAACCGCCGGUCGGGCGCGUACGACGACUCGCCCAUCAUUGACUUGGAUGCUGAUGAUGAGCUGAACGCGCACUCCAUGCCCAAGAUCAUCAACUUCUGCGCAGACGUCGCGCACAGCUGCGAGGGGGAUACUGUCAAACGGAAUGUGUACCAUAGACAAUCAAGCGAAGAUUGGAGUGUAGCGUCCCUCAUGACCUGCCCCAAACACAACCCCCUCACCGACCUAACAACGGACACCAUGCCCUCUAGCGAAAACAAGUGGUGUCGGGUGAUCACUGGUGAUGAUAUAAUGAGAAUGAGUCUGAGGAGUCUGUUGCAAUACAUAGACGAAGAGCUGAUGCUCAGGGCAACACUUCCGCUCACAGCCGACACAGCAGCGAUGUCGCAGGCUGGCAACCCAGCGCUAUCGUUGCACGACCAACACUUAUCCCAAUGCAUUCAACUUAAACAAAAUUUCCUUAACAAUUCAACGACUAAUAUCUACCAAAACUUAGCUACGAAUUUCCAAAGUCCCGUAGGAACUUCGAGAGUUUCGAUAGACGAUCCGUUAUGUAGAAAAAUGGAGGAUAUAAUGUACGUUGACCAUCAGGAGAGCGACGCGUUAGUACAGACACCUCAAAUAAGGAACGCGAAUUGCGAAUGUGGGUUAUGUCCAAAGCCAGAGAGAAAGGACGACAACACAUUGAGCGAUUUGCAAAAAUCAGUAGCGAAAUGCUCGUGUGACGCCUGCAACUCCAACGGGGACAUACUUAGUUACUACAGGAACUGUUCAAAUCAAAACCAGGACUCUGGUAUCGUGUUCUGUGAUAUAUGUAAGAAGCAAAAGAUAUCAGUGUCCAACUUCAGAGCGUUGCAGAUUGCUAACAAGUUGAGGAUCUCCGAAGACAAGCUGGAGAACGGCCAAUCAGACGAAGAUCUUUGCAAGAAGAUCGACAUGACGCUCAGCAUGGAUGAGAAGUCAUACGAACACAGGAAGAGGCAUAACAGACAUAACUCCGACUCGGUUACUGCGGGUAUAGACCUAAGUCAGUUCUGCCAGUGCGAGCUGGAAGGUAACAAACGUAAGACGUCUUCAGUGGACGAGAUAUUCAAAAUGGUGGACGAACAGGACAACAAGAGGGUGGAAGAUGAAGAGAGAGUGAGUCAGAGGCAGAGGAGUCUGUCGGACAGCCAGCGGGACAAGGCUAAGGUCGAGAAAGCGCGCACCCCCCCGGGGCCCCCCCGCCGCUCCCGCGGCCGCCGCGCCCACACGCCCCCGCGGCCCGCGCCCAACGGCCUGCCGCCCACGCCCAAGGUGCACAUGGGCGCCUGCUUCUCGAAGGUGUUCAACGGCUGUCCGCUCCGGAUAAACUGCACGGCGUCGUGGAUACACCCUGACACCCGGGACCAACACAUACUCAUUGGUGCUGAAGAAGGAAUCUACACGCUAAACCUGAACGAGCUUCACGAGACGGCCAUGGACCAGCUGUGCCCGCGGCGGACCAUCUGGAUGCACGUCAUCAAAGAUGUGCUCAUGUCACUUUCUGGCAAGACCCCGUCGCUGUACCGGCACGAGCUGCUGGCGCUGCUGGGCAGCGCCCGCGGGGGCAGGUCGCUGCGCGUGCUGCCGCCCCGGCUGCUGCCCAGGAGGUUCGCGCUCACCACCCGGGUGCCCGACACCAGAGGUUGCACGCGAUGCGCGGUGGCCCGCAACCCGUACAACGGGUACAAGUACCUGUGUGGCGCCACGCCGGCGGGGCUAUUCCUCAUGCAGUGGUACGACCCGCUGCACAAGUUCAUGUUGCUCAAGAACAUAGAGUGCACGCUGCCAUCACCUCUCCUCUGCUUCGAGCUGAUCAUCACGCCAGAGCUGGAGUACCCUCUACUAUGCGUCGGCGCAACUAGGAAGCCACUCCGACUCAACCUUAUUAAUAUUAAUUCUGGCGCGACGUGGUUCCACUCGGACGAGCUGGAGGCCCGCGUUGGCAGCUCCAACACCGUCAUCCCGCAGCGGGAGCGGAUGCACACGCUGCGGCACGUGCACCAGCUCAACAAGGACUCGGUGCUAGUAUGCCACGAGAACGUGGUGGACAUAAUCCCGGUACUCCCGCCUGCGCUGGAGCCUGCGCGGUGGCGCGGCGACAACGACAAGCGGCGCGGCAAGCUGCUCAGCAGGAUCGAGUUCGACUUCAACAUCGACUCCAUACUGUGCCUGCAGGACUCUGUGCUGGCGUUCCACCGGCACGGCGUGCAGGGCCGCUCGCUGCGCUCCGCUGACGUCACGCAGGAGAUCACAGACAACUCGCGCGUCUACCGCCUGCUGCCGCACGACAAAGUGGUGGUGCUGGAAUCACAUAGUCUACAAAGUAACACACUGUCGGGCGAAGAUGGCAACGACUUAUACAUCCUAGCGGGCCACGAAGCUUCCUACUAAACCACGGUUAUGGUACGAUCGUGGUAGUAUUUGGUAGGAAUUCCACAAGAAACAUGGCAACACAGCGCCGCAGUAGAUUCUACUCGUAGAAAAUGGUAGCAAUUUCACAGGUGAUUAUGGUAACACUACGCAGAUCGCGUGUGGUAAUAAUUCUACAGGAGAUUAUGGCAACACAUUUUGGUAGGAUUUAUUGACCGAAAUGUGUUAUUUUUGGCAUUUCGUAGUUACGCCUACGCGGAUUAUUGCUAACGAUUAUUCAAACAAGUAAUAAAUGAUGCAUAUAAUUUGACAUCGGGUUUAUGGUUUUAAUAAGUGAAAUUCAAAGGGACUUACAUAAACUCAUGGUUAUGAACAUGUCUCUUGAAUAUAUUCAUAUUUAAACUAAUAUGAUUGUGGACACAUACAAGGGUUCUACGUUAUACCCCGUAGGUCUGGGUCCAUAUUCGAACUCAGCCACAAGCCGCCACGGCAAGGACGCCUAACCUAAACAGCCUAUAUACAUCCCACUGCUGGGUACAGGCCUCCCCUCAAUCAACCGGAGGGGGUAUGGAGCAUACUCCACCACGCUGCUCCACUGCGGGUUGGUGGAGGUGUUUUUUACGGCUAAUAGCCGGGACCAACGGCUUAAAGUGCCCUCCGAAGCACGGAAUCAUCUUAUGAUUGUGGAAAAGAGACUUAUUUUAGAAGAUACCAGCGCUAAAAAUCUUUUAGCUGGGAGUAAAGUGAACACAAUAGGGUAGUUUCCAACUAGUCAAAUCAGUUGCUUUUUACUAAACGUCAAAACAUGGAAUUUGUAUGAGGAAAAGCAACCUGUGACGUCAUAAAAAAAUGUGUCAAAUGUCGCACUUAUUAUUACAUUUUUCUUUAUUAAAAUUCGUAAAUAAGUUAAAUAGAAAAAAAAAUAAAACGUUUUUCUACCUCUAGAUCUGUCUUUAUUUAGUAAUCAGAAUUUCAUAAUUUAUCUUUGACCUAGAAAACUACCCAAUUGUUAAAAGUUCAAAAAAUUUAAUUAUCACGUAGUAAUAAACCAGGGCCAUCUAUAUUGUUUUUGGGGAACGUGGCAUGGAAAGCCCCUCAUUCAUCAUCCCGUUUUUCACAGGGUCCGCUUACCUGACCUGAAGAUUUGACAGGUCCGGUUUUAUACAAAAGCGACUGCCUGUCUGACCUAACCCGCGAAGGGAAAACCAGCCCAAUACAGGUUAGGUCACAUACCCCCG
rnacentral:misc_RNA from 1 species